UAAUCAUGUUCUUGCAAGUUUAUCUCUAGUCUAUGCCUUGAUAGAUUUUGCCCUUAAUUUAAUCUCCUUAGUUCUCUCGAGCAAAAUUAUAAAUAACGAUACCUGGAAUACUUAUCCUGGUGAAAUGCUACAAUACGGUGUUUUAUCUGUGCGCUUGCGGAUAGAAUAGAUUAUUUUCUAGAGAGCCUUUACAUUUAUAAAUACCUUUGUACACUCUGGCACCAUGCUGGGGAUGACAACCUAGUAUCUAAGUGGUGUUAGCUAGUGUCAACAAGCAUUUCUGGCGCCGUUGCCGGGGAAUCUCAUGAAUAAGCCAUCAAGGGGAACAAAAGGGUAAUACUUAGGAAGCCAGAAAAUCAGUCAAGGUUAUUCAUAUAAAAUAUUAGACUAGACUAUAGAGAAAUAAUUGCAUAAAAACAGCUACUAAGUGAGAAAUCAUAACAAGGCACCUCUGCUUUGGCAGGUUCACCCUGUUGUUUUUCUAUGUUUAUAUUUUUAUACAGGGUAUAUCAGGAUUGACUUUGGGUACAUUCAACUAUUCAUCAUCAGAACCAAAGCAAUCAAGAAAAGAAGAAGCUAGCUACCAAUUGCUGAAGCUAUGGCACAGAGGACCCUACAAGAAUUCUCUGCUCCAAUCCUUGAGAACAUUCCAACUGGUUCAAGAUUUGCAGUAGAAGAAGGAGUACCUGAGUUUGAGCUCAAGUCAAGCCUCAUCAAUUUGGUGCAAGCUACACAAUUUAGUGGAAAGGCACAUGAAGAUGCUAGUGCACACUUGCAGAAUUUCUUAGAGAUUGGAAGCACAAUCCACAUCAACGGAGUUGACAAAGACGUCACACUGCUUCGCCUUUUUCCAUUCUCACUAGAAGGGAAAGCGAGGAAGUGGUUCUACACUCAUCAAGAUAACAUCAACGACUGGACGAACUUGUCAGAUGCCUUUCUAUCAAAGUUUUUCCCUAUAGGAAAAACAACUGCCUUAAGAGGAAAUAUUGUCAGUUUCCAACAACAGAAGACAGAAGCCAUUUCAGAAGCAUGGGAGCGUUUUCAAGGAUACAUAUCAGACUGUCCUCACCAUGGAAUGGGCACAUUGUUACUUAUGCAGACCUUCUACCAUGGAUUAACCCAGAAGGCUCGUGAGUGCCUAGAUGCAUCUGCUAAAGGAGCAUUCUUGGAGCUUACAACUGGAAAAGCAGAAAUACUUUUGGAUAAGAUAGCAGAAAAUCAAAGCUGGUUCCAAGAUAAAGCUCAACAAUGCCAUCAAACUGAAGAAAUACCAGAAGAAGUAAAUGCAUUAUCAACUAAGAUGGAAAAUUUGCUCCAUUGGAUUGACCAGAGGGCCAAGAUCAAAGAAGAUCAAAGGGCCAUUGAGACAGCAUACAAAUAUCAACCAACUUCGAGUCAACCCAAUAGCAAAGGUAUGAAUUCAGGUAAUACUUUCAAGCAACUUUCAUUAAAACAGAUAAUUGCUCAACAAACCAAAAUUAAUGAUGAAGUUAAACAAAGGCUAGAUACAAAUGAAUCAUCUCUAAAAGAUAUACACAAUAAAAUGGAUUUUCUACUAACUGCCUUUGAUGAGCAAAACACUCUUAAUAAAAGGGUAGAGCUUAAAUUAAUAAAGAUAGCUGCUGCACUGCCUGUUGCUACUAACAUUGAGCAGGUAAAGAAUAUAACUACUAUAGGAGGCAAAGCCACCAGAGAUCCCCCAUACCUAAAAGAGAAACAAAGAACAUCAGCACCAGUGCAACCAGCAGUGAUAGAAGAAGAAAGCCCAGUGGAAGCAGAAGAUCUGCUACAACCACCAAGAACUGGAGAAAUGAGGAAAGAUUUUUACGACACCAACUAUUUGCCAUUUCCCAGAAGAAACAGAGGACUGCAGUCGGAUGAGCAGUUUGGUAAGUUUGUAGAGGUCAUUCAGAAAUUAUAUGUCAACAUACCUCUGCUCGAUGCCAUACAGGUACCUACAUAUGCAAAGUACAUCAGAGAUAUUCUUAACAAGAAGAGACCACUGCCCACCACUGAGGUUAUCAAGCUGACAGAAGAAUGUAGUGCGGCCAUCCUCAAUAAGGCACCAAAGAAGAAGGAAGAUCCCGGAUGUCCCACUAUUGACUGCUCGAUCAGAAACCAACACUUCAACAGUGCACUUUGUGAUCUCGGAGCAAGUGUCAGUGUGAUGCCAGCAUCAGUCUACAAAAAGCUUGAGCAUGCGACCCUAGAACCAACAUCAAUGUGCCUACAACUAGCGGAUCAAUUGGUUCGACACCCGUUGGGCAUCGCCGAGAACAUUCCAGUCAAGAUCAGAGAUUUCCUGGUGCCAGUAGACUUCGUAGUACUGGACAUGAGUCCCAACUCAAAAGUGUCCAUCAUCCUUGGAAGGCCAUUUCUGAGCACUGCCAAUGCCCACAUUGAUGUCGGGAAGGGAGAAAUCAAGUUCAACAUAAACGGUCAAGAAGAACACUUCACAUUCAAACCCAGACCAGAGAGAGACUCUACAGUGAAGGAAGUUCAUGAAGAACCACUGGAGACACCAUCUCCGGAGGAAGGUAACUCAGAAGAUUAAAAGAUUUGGAGGUCCAGCUUGGGGGACCUAAAAAUCCCAAACCCUCACCGGGAGGUAAAUCGGCAUUCAUCCGCAUUAUUAAUUUUCUCAUAUUUAAAUUCUUGCAUAAUUAAUUCUUGCAUUAAUCAUAUAUAUUCAUAGCAUUAUUAUAAUAAUCAAAAGCCCCAUAUAAAUAAUAUUCAUGGUGUGUAACAACCCAUAUUUAUUAAUUAUUAUGGAGGCACAAAAAAAUAUUUUCCAUUAUCAUUUUAAUUUUCAAUUCUCAUAGAUUUUCCUGCAUUAUAUUUAAUUAUAGUAACCUUCUAGAACAUGACCCACACUCUUUGGGUCCCACAUGUCAUACACUUCACCUCACAUACAUCCCAUCACAUAAUUUCAUCCACCAAUAUGUUUCCACUCACCAGACAUCUUUCCACCGUCCAACCACCACCAACACAAUAUUAUUCUGCGUGAGAUCAAAGCAAGGAAGCAAGUGGAGGAGGCACACCCAGGAUGGAAACCAGGGGUGGGCACCCGCCCACCUACCCAGGGCGCCCGCCCUGUCCCCUGCUCAGCUUAUAAAAGGCCACCUCCAGGUUCCCUUCUCUUCACACACACAUUUCAGAAAACCUCGCAAUCUCGGUUUCCAUAGAAUAGCUCUGAGUGUGAGAAAGUUGGGAGUUCUUUUGAGUAAGAGAGUGAGUAUCACCUAGUAAGUAGUUGUCUAAGCGGAAGUAAAAGUUGUUUAGGGGGAGGUUCUGCCAAAAUAGAAACUUAUCUUGAACGACUAAACUACUGACAUUCUGGACAGCUGACCACUAACAUUUUCUCUCACAUUUUCCACUAGUUGUGUUUUUGCCAACUUUUGUUUAUAGGAUGUUUAAGAAGGUGAAGAACACAGGGAAUGCUCUCAAGAACAUUGGUACAAGGAGUUCAUCCCGACACUCCUCGCAGCCAUCAGAGAUAAGCGUCGACCCGACACCCACACAAGCUCCGUCAUCUUCAUCAGGUCAGCAAGUUAAGGUCCUUCUCAAGAUAGGAGACCUUAGACUGAAGACCUAAAGAGAGAAGGAAGUCUAUCAGCAAUUGAAGAACAAAGAUUUCAUUCACACCCCUACUCUCGAUCCAAUCUUACUACAAGAAACAGGUAUGGACACUGAAUUUGACUUAAUUUUCUAGAUGAUAGGUUGGACAAAUUUUUGGAAUAUAACUGAGCUAGGUUCUCAUCUUCUCACCCUCGAAUUUCUUUGCACUUUACAAAACUAUGAGGGGGGAAUUGUUUUUCGGAUGUUCAAACAGGAGAUUAUGUUGUCUUGGAGAGAGCUGAGUGACCAUCUUGGUUUCUCUUCAAGAUGCAUCCUGAACAUUGACUCCGACCUACCUAACUUUGAGAGACACCAGUUUUGGAGAGAAAUAUCUAGAGAUAAUUUUUAUAGUCAAGCCCGAACCAGUGACAUGUAACACCCCACUCUUAGGAUGUUCCACAAAUGGCUUGGGUACAAUCUUUUCUAUCGCGAUGAUAUUAGGAAAGUAAGAGUAGGAGAUUUACAACUUUUAUAUGCUGCUAUUAAUAAAGUACCCACUUCACCUGUUACACUAUUAGUUUCUCAUUGGCUUAGUGUACCUAGUCUUCAGGGACCAGUAGGAUGUACUUCACUUAUCAAUCGUCUAGCCUUUAAUCUUCAGUUACUAGAAAACUCAUCGUUGGACUUCAUAGAUGAGUUAAGAAUUUAUCAUGGCUAUGACACAUUUAGACAAGCUCAGAUGUUAAAGAAAGAAGGGAAUGUAAUGUAUAUGCUAUAUGAUGAUAAAGGCAAGAUUCGGUUACCUCACCCGAACCUUGGCCUCUAUGUUGUGCAAAACUUUUUGAUUGAGAUUGCAGCAACACCAGUAAACCAGAGAACUCCACAGCGAGUGGCAUCUGAAAGGAUGACCACUCACCGAGAACGCACCUGGUAUGGAGCUGACCCUGGACCAGAAGAAGCAGCGCACCUGCAUUAUUGCGAUUACAACCUCCGAGUCCUUCAAGACCCAUGGGUUCGUCAUGCGCAACCACAAGAGCCAACAGAGGAGACAUGGCCGGAGAGCCAAGAUCACCAGUGGACAAACCCGCCUUUUCAUACGGGCAGGUACUCCACUGAUCCAUAUGGAGCUUCAGGAUCCAGACCUCCGCCCCAAUUUGAUGCAGGACGAUACUCCGAGGCCUCCUACGCUUUCACGAAUGACUACUACCAAGAGGCCGGUGCUUUCUUCACUCGUACCGACAACACUCUCCUCGACAUCCAGAACACGCAAGUAGAAUAUGGAAGACUCCUGGAAGAGCAACAAAAAUGGAACCAGGAUCAUGCCACUGCAGUAGAAGAGCUGAGACAAGAUACAACAACAAUGAAUGACAACAUCACAACUAUGAUGCGGUUCUGGAAUAUCGGGUAAGACCGACAGCAACAUCCAGCUUGGGGGAGUUCCUCCCCAAUUUAUCAAGUAAGUUUUUAUUUGCUCUUCUUAUUUAUUCUUUUCUAUUUUAGUAUUUUAUCUUAAAGAGAAAAUUUUAGAAAACCAAAUAAAUAUUUUCUUGCUUUAAUUUACUGCACUUUAUAAACAUGAAAACAAAAUAAAAAGAGUGUGUAGAUAAGUGUGUUUUAUUUAUCUCCUAAGUUUAAUCUCUAGAAAACAAAAAGACCAAAAAGAUGCAUGAUGGAAAUGAUGAACAGUUGCUCUGUUUGCUUACUUACAAGUACCUAGCUUUUAUAUUAGAGUUCUUCCAAGAAUUACUAAAACUGAAAUACUAUCUAUGGGAAGCAUAAAACUAAAGUCUAGGUAAAAGAAAGGCAUGAUAUAAAGUUUGAGCUGCUGUUUAUCUUGUUCCUACUACACUAAGUUCUAGAGAUUUAUUUUGAAAACUUACAAAUCCCAUGAUGAGUUCCUAGCAUAACAAAACUACCUACCACAGCCAUACUUGCUAUAACAUCUUUUACUAUAUUUACAAUGAGUUUGAUCGAGCUGUGUAGACCCUUAGGAGCUUUUCAUGUGGUUAAAUUUAGAUAUUCACUUGCACACAUCUACCACAGCAUUCAUCACCAAUCAUUAAAAUUGCUAAAAAUAUUAUCACUCACUGUCCCAAGUAUUGUUAUACUCUCUAUCUAAAAAGAUUCAAUGCAGAAGAGGCAUGGGUUAUGCAAAAAUAUACGAGGAAAUAAAAAGGGGCAAGUGCCCGGAACCUCGAAAAAGAAAGAAAAAGAGUGAGACGAGAGGUAAAAAUAGACAAGUGUCUGAAGUAGAAUUAGGGGUACAAAGACGCCCACUUGAGCGAAAGAAAUGGACAAGUGUCCGACAGUAGAAUUAGGGGUAUCUAUUACCCACCUGAAAAAAAACAGAGAGAGAAAAAGAUAGCCCAUGUUCUCCCAAAGCAAAGAUCAAAGAGGAGGAGAGAUAGCAAUAUGAGGAGCAAUGAGAAGUAAGUUUUAUUAUCACUUAUAUAUAUCUUCACCAUCACUAUCAUUUAUUCCAUCACACAUGCACAUCUUGAUUUAAUUAUAUGCUGAGUUCCUUUGGAUCCAUGGCUCGAUUAGACAACAUAUGUAUGAGUUGUUCUUCACUCCUAUGAGCUCCACUUAAAUGUUUCAUUAGCUAUAGGUAAGUGACAUUAUGGUAAGGAUUCACAAAAACCACAUAUAAAGAGACUUGAGAGAUCAUUGCUGGGAACUCUGAGUUUUAUUUUGAAAACUUAUGAAAAACUCUAGAACAAAGGUGAAGUAUAGACAGGAGGAAUAGUGCUUGACUUAAUUAUUUUGUCUUUCGAUUACUUAAAACUUAAGUGCAGGCACUAAGCUCUUUAACCCUUCACUCUAAUCUCGAAGAAUUUUUUAUGUAAAAGCAUGUGUGCCUGUUAGGAAAGAUAACAUCGAAGCAACUUCUGAUUCGUCUAAGUUUAGCUAUGUGCUCAGGGACGAGCAAAGGGUAAGCUUGGGGGAGUAUGUUGACGGUCCUUAAGUGCUAAAAUUAAUAAUCAAAUAAACAUGAAAAAGGAUCAAUAUGAAACAAACAUCUAGAAUUAGGGUUUUAUCUGACAGAAUUCCACGAGCUUUGAUGUUUAUCUAUUUCUGCAGGGGGUUAUCAGAGAAUAUGGAGAGAAGGCCCACAUGUCAUGUUUACAACGAGAUAAUUACGUGCCGCGCAAUUUUCUUCAAUCUAGAAGAGUCCAGAAGCCACGGGAACGAACAAGAAGGGAAUCGGGCUCGGGGGCAGGGCGCCCGCCCACCCCCCUUGGACGCCCGCCCUGGCCAGGAGUUGGAUCAGGACUCUGCUUUGGGGCUAAACUCCACCGACCUAAAGGAUCAAUCUAAACCAUACAAUCAAUGUCGGUUUGAUAUGACGGCCCACGUUCACUUGAAGGGACUAUAAAACCAAGGCCUCUCCCCCCCUGGAGGAGAGAGGAGAAGAGAAGAAAUCAUUAUGCAGAGGUAGCCAUCAAAGUUAGGGGUUAGAGCUUCUCUCCCACAGAGAAUUAGAAUUAGCUACUCCCUAAUCCUUCAAGUUUAGAGGUUUGAUUAGAUAGCAAUUAGAGAAGUAGAGCACUACGCUCUGGAUUCGGAUCUUCGGUAAUAAAGAUUGGUAUUAUUCAUAUAUUUCUCUAAUUCUUUGUUCUAAUUUCAUUAUGUCUCUAAUUAUUAUGUUCUUAGUUUGCUCUAGUUCUAUAUUUGAUAUAGUUCUAAUUCAUAAUGAGUUUAUGUAUAAGUUUGCAAAGCGCUGAGCUCUUGACGCGAGGGAGUUAGGUGAUAGAUCACAUGUGAGCGUGGUGCUUAGAUGUUAUUUAUCUGCAAAUGUAUCUUAUUGGCCGGGUCGUGUGGUAGUUCGCGAUAGUGACAGCUUCGUUGAUUCUUAUAUAGUCCACCCUCCAUUGAUAGGACAGGUAGAACCGGUAUUGUGGAGUAAGUCAUGCGAUGCUCUGAUUUACUUUAUCAAUGUUCCUUAUACAUGAAUGAAGUGUCUUUUAUGCUAUAUAUGAUCUUGUAGAUAACUAGAGUAGAUUACGACUUAGUAGUUAGUAGAUAACUUAGAAUCCAUUCUCUAGCUAAUCCGACAUCACCUACAUAUAUGAGGAGUAGUCUAUUUUCUAAUCGCUGUGUCAUUUAUCCCUUGAACUUAUAAUUCAUUAUCAUUAUCUUUAUGGUUUACCCCCUGCUAAAGUAAGUGACUGUGUGACGAGUUUCUCAUUAGUAAUCAUGUUCUUGCAAGUUUAUCUCUAGUCUAUGCCUUGAUAGAUUUUGCCCUUAAUUUAAUCUCCUUAGUUCUCUCGAGCAAAAUUAUAAAUAACGAUACCUGGAAUACUUAUCCUGGUGAAAUGCUACAAUACGGUGUUUUAUCUGUGCGCUUGCGGAUAGAAUAGAUUAUUUUCUAGAGAGCCUUUACAUUUAUAAAUACCUUUUUACACUCUGGCACCAUGCUGGGGAUGACAACCUAGUAUCUAAGUGGUGUUAGCUAGUGUCAAUAGUUAAAUCAAGAUUCACUUGCACGUUCACUCACACAUGCUGCUUCUACUCCAGAAGUACGCAUCCACAUAUAUCCACCCAUUUCCAUCUCCAGAAUCACCUAAAAAUAUUCUACUCCUAAUCCGGGAGAGAAUAGCCAAAAACAUUUCUGUUUUCCCCUGUGAAAUAAAUGCUCAAGUUAUCUUGGUUACUACCACUUGCUACAUCAUUUCAAGAGAUGAGUGCUCUAAAAAAAAGAGAGAGAAAAAGAUACGAGGAAAGAAAAAGGGGCAGGUGCCCGGAACCUCGAAAGAAAAGAAAAAAAAGUCAGACGAGAGGUAAAAAUGGACAAGUGUGCGACAGUAGAAUUAGGGGUACACAAUACCCACCUGAGAGAAAAAAAAUAAAAUAUAGAGCAUCUCAUUCUCCUCAAAAAGUUUCAAAAGAGCAAGAAAGGUAUGUAUCCUCUCAAAAGAGCACAAGUAGAAUUAGACUUUCACCAUUGUUAUCACCAUCAUCACCAUACACCAUUCAUUCGCCACACAUGCACAUCUUGAUUUGACUUAUUGACUUGAUCUUCUGGAUCCAAGGUUUGACUAUGCAAUAAAUGUCUUGUAAGUAUGUAUUAGCUGUCUCCCACCUAUGAAGGUCCAUAUAUCAAAACCUUAUUAGAGUAGGGUGAGAGAGAAGGCAAUGCCACUAUGUCUUAUACCACAAAUACCACAUACUUUGAGAGAAGGCAUAUACAAUCACUGCCUUGGUAAGAAUCUAGAAAUAGCACAAAAGAGAGACUAGAGAGAGUCAUAUAAGGAAUCUCUGAGUUUUAUUUGAAAAUCUGCAAAAACUCCAGAGCUAUAGUUAAUCGAAGAACAAGAGACAUGGCGCUUGGCUAGACCGUUCUAUCUUUUAACUGCUCAAGACACAAGUGAUGGUUGCAAGCCCCAUGGUGGAAGGUACAAUGAGUAAGUUUAAAUCUUAACAGUUUACCCUAACCCAGAGAUGAGAUCUUGUUUGAACGCAUGUAUAUCUUUAAGGCAUGAAACCACUUCAGAAACUCUUGAGUUCAUCUUUGCUCAGGGACAAGCAAAGGUUAAGCUUGGGGGAGCUUGUUGACGGUCCUUAAUGCUCACAUUUAACCAUCAACUAAUCAUGGAAAAGGACUUAUAUGCAACCAACACCUAGACUUAGGGUUUUAUCUGACAGAAUUCCAUGAGUUUUGGUGUUUGUCUAUUUCUGCAGGGGGUUAUCAGGAAAUACGGAAGAAAGGCCCACACGUCGGGUUUACAUAGAGAUAUUAACGUGCCACGCAAUUUUCUACCAUCUAGAAGACUCCAGAAGCCACGGGAAGGAAGCGGAGGCUGAACGGGGCCAGGCACUGGGCGCCCGCCCAGUUGACCUGGGCGCCCGCCCCCUCCUAGAGUCGAAACAGGACUCUCUUUCGGGAUCAAUCUCCACCGACCUAAAGGAUCAAGGAUAACCGUUCAAUCAAUGUCGGUUUGAUCCAACGGCCCAUAUUCACUUGAAGGGACUAUAAAACCAGACCCCCUGGCCCCUGGAGAUCAUACCUCUUCUACAUAAUCAAAGCUAGGGUUUCAAUUCUUCAUCCAAGUAGAGAGGAUCCCUCUAGUUCUUCUAGUUCUACCUCUAGUUCAUCUAGAUCUAGUUAUAGUUCAUCUAGUUCUAGUUCUAGUUCCUCUAGUUCUAGUUCUAGUUAGUUCUAGUUGUAAUCUAGAAAAUAGGGAGAGAGAAGAGGAGAGCGGAGGAGGAGCCGGAUCUGUCGGAUCUUCCUCAACAUUGUACUUUUGCAGCAACUGGUUCGUUCUUCAUCGUUCUCUAGGUUCUUCAAUUCAUAAUUCUUGAGUUCUUUAAUUACUUUUAUUUACAUUCAAGUUAUUUAUUGGAUUCCCGCUUGCAUCAAGUGCUCUAAUCUUUGAAACAUUAGAGUAGUAAUUAAUAGAUUAGACGUGGUGUUUAGUCUUACAAUUACCUGGAAUUGCACCCAAUCCUGCGGAUUGUUGUGGUAGCCUUAGGGUAGUGAAAGCCCUAACAGUCGACGUAUUCCACAUCGUUUGGAUCGGUGUUUGUAGGACCGUAGUCACACCUUCCUAGCCCCCUUCUCUUCUCUUUCUGUGGUUAGUGCUCUGAUGUCCUGAUAUAAAUAAUCUUUGAAGUAAUUCUUGAUUCUUAGAUCAACUAGAGAACUCUCAGGAAAUUUCCUCUCUUCCCACCAAAAAUAAUUAUAUAGUUAUCCUUGGGCAAUCUUGAAUCUUAAUUAGUACACUCACGUUCCCUGUGGAAAAUCGAUACUCUGGAAUACUCCCGGGUGAAGGCUACAUCGGUAUCCGUGCGCUUGCGGAUUUUUCUGUUUGCGUUUAAAAUACCCAACAGACGCUAAGGGAAAGACUAAGGUCUUGAAUCGGAAGCAGCUGAGAAGAGCGCAUCGGUAGACCCCCCAACAUCAGAUCACUGCCGAUGACGCCAAGGGCAAAGGUUUGAUCCAAGAAGGCACCAGUUCUAGGAGACCUGCUCGAUCCGGCAUUAUGAUCACUCAUAGACGGCAUCGGGAGACAUGGCAACAGCGUGAAGAUCGGUAUUGCCGCCAGCAAGAGGAUCGUUGCCGAGAAGAAGAAAGACGCCGACAAGAGUGGAAUCAGCACAA
rnacentral:lncRNA from 1 species